rnacentral:lncRNA from 1 species
GGAUUGUGGCAUUGUAAUGUGCAUCAGUAUGGAUCGACACGCAUGGGACCCAGAGCCAGCAUUCGCCACAUGGCUUGUGAUGAUUGGUUGGAUCAGGUCUAGCCCUAUCAGUGGGCAGACACUGGGUUCCCUUCUAGCUGAUGAGGUGCCAAAGGUCAAGGAGCCAAUUCAACUCCUUGUGUGGCAGUUGGUUGUUUCUAGAUGUCU